CAAAUUCCAAAUCCCUAAAUAAGAAAGCAUGGCAGCUUCUCUCUUUCUCUUCCUCUUCCUUGGCGGAAAUCUCGCCUCUCCUCUGCGUCUCCGGGCCAGAGCUCCUCUCUCUCCACUCCCAUUCUUCAUUAGCACUACACAUUCCGAAAUCCCUAAUUAAGAAGACAUAGCAGCGGCACCUCUCUUCUCUGGCGAAAUCGCGCCUAUCUCGGCAGGAAUUUCGGAGUCCCGUCGGUGGGAACUCCCUCAUCCAUUGUGUUCGCUCCCUCCGUCAAGUUCGGAGGAGUCCUCGGCUUCUCGACGAGCAGGGCUGCCGCCUGCUGCGUCGCUCGGCGUCGGCUCGAGUGGACUAGCCAUCGCCGCCUGUUUCUCCGGCGUCCUCACUCUCCGUCGUUUUCUCUAUUCGGUGAAGUCCUGGUUAGGGAGAAGGCAUCGCCUUUCCCCUCCGCCGGUUCCUCUCUCGCUUUGUGAGCUCACAGCUCCGCCGCCGACGUCACUCGUCGUCGCCGCUCCUCUGUGUCGCCGGCCUGCUUCCUCCGUGAGCGCACAACCGAAGCUGUCUGCCAGCAUGGAGCCCGCGCAGUGGCCUUUCGAGGCUCCGUCGUCAACCGUUCGUCGCCGAAAAGCCUGCCGGUCUCGGCCUAAAGCUAAGUUCUUUAUCCUAUUACUUGUUUUGUUCGUGGUUCUUUAAUCGGCAAUAGCUAUGUGAUUUGGGAAUCUUGAUGUUGGGAUUUCACAGUAAGAGCUACUACAGUGUUUGCAUGUCUUGUGAAAAGUUUGAGUUCUUAGUUCAGGCAGCCCCUCAUGGUACCAUAGCUGGAAAUUUGGAGCUUGUGGAGGUGGAAAAUCGAGGGAGAGAAGAAGAAGAAGAAGAUCCUUGCUAGCCAUUGUCUUGUUCAUUUCUUCCUUUGACUAUCCCCAAAUUUCUAAG